ACGCUCGACACCUACGGAGGCAGCGGUGGGGAAUAUUGCACAAUGGGGGAAACCCUGAUGCAGCGACGCCGCGUGAGCGAAGAAGUAUCUCGGUAUGUAAAGCUCUAUCAGCAGGGAAGAAGAUGACGGUACCUGACUAAGAAGCACCGGCUAAAUACGUGCCAGCACGCCGUAGGUAUCUGACGGCGGGCGUGGACGAAGGC
rnacentral:rRNA from 1 species